AAGCCAGGAAGGAGGAGGCAGCCAGAGUGUUCUCUGCAGCAGAAGACCCCUUGCUGCACUGCUUAACCCAGACCAACAUUUGCCAGGUCAGCAAUGAUCAACUUUUGCAAUCUCAAACUUUUAUUCUUCAGAUAACAGCUCAGCUUUCUACGUCAACCAAUAUAUCAUUUUGUAUGCAAACUUCAUGUUCAAGAUUAAACAAUGCAACACCUGCAAGAAGGAUGAAUGAGAUUCAGAACUGAGAUGAUCUUCCCCAUUACUCUUUGAAGAAACAAAGAAGUGUUAGCUGCAGAACUGUUUUCAUUGCAGUUGAGUCAACAGCCUCAUGGAAAACUAUUUUAAAACUGUAUA